rnacentral:rRNA from 1 species
CUAGUCCGCGGUUGGCCUAAAAACAAGUCUCGGGGCGACGAAUGUCACGACGAGUGGUGGAUGUGAUAGCGUUGCGUCACGUCGUGUGCACGUCUUGAGCCCCCGGGUUGUUUUAUUUUUGACCCUAAAGCGCACCGUUUUCACGGAGCCUCGGUUGCGACCC